rnacentral:rRNA from 1 species
AGUGAACGCUGGCGGUAGGCCUAACACAUGCAAGUCGAACGGCAGCACAGUAAGAGCUUGCUCUUACGGGUGGCGAGUGGCGGACGGGUGAGGAAUACAUCGGAAUCUACUUUUUCGUGGGGGAUAACGUAGGGAAACUUACGCUAAUACCGCAUCCGACCUACGGGUGAAAGCAGGGGAUCUUCGGACCUUGCGCGAUUGAAUGAGCCGAUGUCGGAUUAGCUAGUUGGCGGGGUAAAGGCCCACCAAGGCGACGAUCCGUAGCUGGUCUGAGAGGAUGAUCAGCCACACUGGAGCUGAGACACGGUCCAGACUACUACGGGAGGCAGCAGUCGGGAAUAGUGGACAAUGGUCGCAAGCCUGAUCCAGCCAUACCGCGUGGGUGAAGAAGGCCUUCGGGUUGUAAAGCCCUUUUGUUGGGAAAGAAAAGCAGCAGGUUAAUACCCCGCUGUUCUGACGGUACCCAAAGAAUAAGCACCGGCUAACUUCGUG